rnacentral:rRNA from 1 species
UGGGGGAUAUUGCACAAUGGGCGAAAGCCUGAUGCAGCGACGCCGCGUGGGGGAUGAAGGCCUUCGGGUUGUAAACUUCUUUUGCUCUGAACAAGGCAUGCUAAUGGGUGUGUUGAGUGUAGGGGUUGAUUAGCGCCGGCUAACUACGUGCCAGCAGCCGCGGUAAUACGUAGGGCGCGAGCGUUGUCCGGAAUUAUUGGGCGUAAAGGGCUUGUAGGUGGCUGGUUGCGUCUGUCGUGAAAGCUCAUGGCUUAACUGUGAGUUUGCGGUGGGUACGGGCUGGCUUGAGUGCAGUAGGGGAGGCUGGAAUUCCUGGUGUAGCGGUGGAAUGCGCAGAUAUCAGGAGGAAUACCGGUGGCGAAGGCGGGUCUCUGGGCUGUUACUGACACUGAGGAGCGAAAGCAUGGGGAGCGAACAGG